GAUGAACGCUGGCGGCGUGCCUAAUACAUGCAAGUCGAGCGAACAGACGAGGAGCUUGCUCCUCUGCCGUUAGCGGCGGACGGGUGAGUAACACGUGGAUAACCUACUUCUAAGACUGGGAUAACUUCGGAAAACCGGAGCUACUACCGGAUAACAUGUUGAACCGCAUGGUUCAACAGUGCAAGACGGUCUUGCUGUCACUUAUAGAUGGACCCGCGCCGCAUUAGCUAGUUGGUAAGGUAACGGCUUACCAAGGCAACGAUGCGUAGCCGACCUGAGAGGGUGAUCAGCCACACUGGAACUGAGACACGGUCCAGACUCCUACGGGAGGCAGCAGUAGGGAAUCUUCGACAAUGGGCGAAAGCCUGACGGAGCAACGCCGCGUGAGUGAAGAAGGUCUUCGGAUCGUAAAACUCUGUUAUUAGGGAAGAACAAAUGUGUAAGUAACUAUGCACGUCUUGACGGUACCUAAUCAGAAAGCCACGGCUAACUACGUG
rnacentral:rRNA from 1 species